UACGUAGGGCGCAAGCGUUAUCCGGAAUUAUUGGGCGUAAAGAGCUCGUAGGCGGUUUGUCGCGUCUGCCGUGAAAGUCUGGGGCUCAACUCCGGAUCUGCGGUGGGUACGGGCAGACUAGAGUGAUGUAGGGGAGACUGGAAUUCCUGGUGUAGCGGUGAAAUGCGCAGAUAUCAGGAGGAACACCGGUGGCGAAGGCGGGUCUCUGGGCCGUAACUGACGCUGAGGAGCGAAAGCGUGGGGAGCGAACAGG
rnacentral:rRNA from 1 species